AUAACGGUCCUAAGGUAGCGAAAUUCCUUGUCGGGUAAGUUCCGACCUGCACGAAUGGCGUAACGACUUCUCCGCUGUCUCCACCAUGAGCUCGGCGAAAUUGCAUUACGAGUAAAGAUGCUCGUUACGCGCAGAAGGACGGAAAGACCCCGGGACCUUUACUAUAGCUUGGUAUUGGCGCCCGCCAUGACUUGUGCAGGAUAGGUGGGAGACUGUGAAGCGGCCACGCCAGUGGUUGUGGAGUCGUCGUUGAAAUACCACUCUGGUUAUGGCGUGCGCCUGAACCUCGGCCCGUGAUCCGGGUCAGGGACAGUGCCUGGUGGGUAGUUUAACUGGGGCGGUUGCCUCCUAAAGUGUAACGGAGGCGCUCAAAGGUUCCCUCAGCCUGGUCGGCAACCAGGUGUUGAGUGCAAGUGCACAAGGGAGCUUGACUGCGAGACCGACAGGUCGAGCAGGUACGAAAGUAGGAACUAGUGAUCCGGCGAUCCCGAGUGGGUGGGUCGUCGCUCAACGGAUAAAAGGUACCUCGGGGAUAACAGGCUGAUCUUGCCCAAGAGUCCAUAUCGACGGCAUGGUUUGGCACCUCGAUGUCGGCUCGUCGCAUCCUGGGGCUGGAGCAGGUCCCAAGGGUUGGGCUGUUCGCCCAUGAAAGCGGUACGCGAGCUGGGUUUAGAACGUCGUGAGACAGUUCGGUCCCUAUCCUCUGCGCGCGCAGGAGACUUGAGAAGGCCUGUCCCUAGUACGAGAGGACCGGGACGGACGAACCUCUGGUAUGUCAGUUGUACCGCCAGGUGCAUGGCUGAUUGGCUACGUUCGGGAGGGAUAACCGCUGAAAGCAUCUAAGCGGGAAGCCUGUUUCGAGAUGAGAUUUCCUGGCACUUUGGUGUGUGAGGCUCCUUAUAGAUGAUGAGGUUGAUAGGCCGGGUAUGGAAGCGAGGACUGAAGACUCGUGGAGUUGACUGGUACUAAUAGGCCGAAGGCUUA
rnacentral:rRNA from 12 species